AUUGAACGCUGGCGGCAGGCCUAACACAUGCAAGUCGGACGAGCGGCGGACGGGUGAGUAAUGUCUGGGGAUCUGCCUGAUGGAGGGGGAUAACUACUGGAAACGGUAGCUAAUACCGCAUACCAUCAGAUGUACCCAUAUGGGAUUAGCUAGUAGGUGGGGUAACGGCUGACCUAGGCGACGAUCCCUAGCUGGUCUGAGAGGAUGACCAGCCACACUGGGACUGAGACACGGCCCAGACUCCUACGGGAGGCAGCAGUGGGGAAUAUUGCACAAUGGGCGCAAGCCUGAUGCAGCCAUGCCGCGUGUAUGAAGAAGGCCUUCGGGUUGUAAAGUACUUUCAGUCGGGAGGCGUUACUGACAGAAGAAGCACCGGCUAACUCCGUGCCAGCAGCCGCGGUAAUUC
rnacentral:rRNA from 1 species